rnacentral:lncRNA from 1 species
AAAGAGGAAAGAAACAGAAUAGCAGGGGACGAAACAGAGAAGGGAGAGAGGAAGAAAAGAAAAAGGGAAAAAUAAGGUUUUAAAGGUUCCAAGUUAAUUUGCUAAUGUUGUCUCGGGAAACCUCGGCUAAGCAAGGAAAAAAAUGGCAAAGACAAAGGGAGUUAGCUCGAGAAAAUACGGUUUGUAUUUCUAUAAUCCGAACCUAGUUAUUAAUUGUUAUAUUUUUUUAUUCAAUGCAUUUAAUAAAUGUUGAAGUGAGAAUUAUUGUGUUUAUAAUGGAAAUGGAUUAAUUUGGUAUGUGAUGAAUUUAUAUUGAUUGAAUUAAAUUGAAUUAUAUAUUAUAAAUAUAUAUAUAUAUAUGUGUGUGUGUGUGUGUGUGUGAAUGAGAUAUUAUGCAAUUAUGAUAAUUGAAUUUUGGAUAAAUAUUAUGAUAAAUAAUUAAGAUGGGAAUUAUUUGUAUUGUGUCUUUAUAAUUGAAAUGAAUUGAUUUAGUGUGUGAUAAAUUUAUAUUGAAUUGAUUUAUGAAUAUCUGUUUUAUUGAGUUUAUAUUGAUUGAAAUUAUUUUGAUUGAAUUUAUAUUGAUUGAAUUAUAUAAUAUAUAUGAUUUAUGUAGAAAUUUGAAUAUUGAAUGAAUGUUAUAUUGAAAAAUAUAUUGAUUGGAAAUAUGAGGAAAUUGAUAUGAAUAUAUGAGAUUGUGAUAUUUGAAUAUUUGAUAUUGAAAAAUGAAUUGAAUUGUUUUGAAUUAUGAAUUAAUGUGAAUAAUUGAAAUAUAUUGUUGAAUUGAAUGAAAUUGUAUGAAUUGUGAAAAUGGGUAAAUAUAUGUAAUUAUCUGAAUGAGAUAUUGAUGAAAGAAUUAUUAAAUUGAGAAAGUGAAUGAAAUACCCUAUUAACUAGUCGGGCUAAGUCGGAUAUAAUUGGCAUGCCAUAGGAUCUGAAAGUGUACGGGAUUUGCCGGCUUUACCGAUUAGGCACUUUAUCUGUCGUAUUUCAGGCACCUCGUGUGUCGUAUCAGGCACCUCGUGUGUCGUUUUAGGCACUUUAUGUGUCGUAUACUGAUCAGGUACUAUGUACCGUUUUAGGCACAAUGUGCUGUACUGGUGUGUUUGGGUUGGAAUCCGUGUAUCCGUCAAAGUCCAGGUUUGUUAAUAGGGGUAAAUAAGUGAAAAGAUAAAUCGAGUGAAAUUGAUUGAUUGAACUAUUGGAAUGAAAUGAGAAAUUGAAUUGAGAAUUGAAAUUGAGAUAUGAGAUUGAAAACAUGAACCAAAAGGUUCAUGAAAUGAGUGAAGUUCAAAUGGAUGAUGAUUGAUGUUAAAAUGAAUUAAAAUGGUAUAUUGUUAAGAAGUAAAGUGUGAAUACAAGUGAAUUGUGAAUAUAUUGAAAGAAUUUAUACAGUAAGCAAAUGAAAAGAAUUGAGCAAAUAUGUUGUUGUGUUUGUUAUAUGGCUUGUAUAGAAUUUUUAUGGUAAGUAAAUGAAACUUAUCCAGAAAAUAAAUAAAUGAAUGGUUAUAUUUAUCAUUGUGAUUUUAAGUUUAAUUGUUAUAUUAUCAAGUGUUCGGAUUAUAGAAAUACCAUUGAGUAUACCAUACUCAGCGUACGGUUUGUUUUCGUGCGCAGGUUUAGUAAAGAUAGAACGUUGAAUCAGCAUCCCAGUCCGAUCCUAAAUUCAUUAAGGUAAAGUGUGUUAAUUAUUGGUAAUGGCAUGUACCUAGGAUGUCUUAUGUGUAUGUCAUUUUGAAAUUGUAAAUGUAAGGAUGAAAUAAAUAAAUUUAGAUUUGGCUAUGGUAUAAAAUAGGAUUUGAC